AAAUUAUAGAUGAAAAGGAGUAGAGGGGAGGAGAGAGCAAUCGCAUCCCGUCUUCUUUGGUGGAUGUUCCUUGGAACGAUUGCUCCCUGUGCGCUUUCGAAGAGGAGGAAGUUAGAAUUUGGGGGGCGAAGGAUUUCAUCUUAGGUUUAGGGUUCUCUCACCGUCUUCCAAUCCAUGGCGUCGGCGAAAGUUUCGUGAUCUCUCUUACCUUCCUCCUGUCGCCCCUGAUCCGCGUGUGGAACCGGUGCAGAUCCAGCGGUAGUGAGAAAUCGAUGAAUUUUGCAUCUCGAUAAGUGUUUAUUUUGGAUCUGUUCGGGCAGUUAUUUUGAUUUCUCCAUCGCUGGUCGGGAGUUGCUGUGCUUUUCCGAUCCAUCUGUGGAAUCAGUUUGGUUCGCUCAAUCAUUAGGGCUUUUAUUUGGUUGAUUCGGUGGUGGCUUUUUUUGGAUUCGGUGUUGGUGCCUAGGGUUUCUUGUUUUGUUUCUGUUGAUAGAUGGACGAGGCCUGGGAGAGGGCCGUGGAGGCGGCGAUAGGAGCUCAGGCGGAAUCUUCCUCUUCUGCUUCACCACCGCGGAGCCUCACACUUGACGGUUCGGUGAAGUGUCUUCAUGGUCGGCUUCCGCCGCCGGAGAUCCUGGAGAGGUACCAGUCGCUGGAGGUUCUCUCGAUUGCAAAUAUUGGGGUGUCGUCACUAGAGAAGUUUCCGCGUCUCCAGAACCUGCAGCGGCUGAUCCUGUCUGACAAUCGCAUUGGCGGCGGACUUGAGUUUCUGGUGGAGGCUGGGCUGGAUUCCCUCAGGGACCUAGAUCUCUCCAACAACCGGAUCCAGUUCCUAGAGGAUUUGUCACCUUUGGCUCAACUCCGGCUCGUUUCUUUGGAUCUCUAUGAGUGUCCUGUGACGAGGGUCAAGGAUUAUCGAUCAAGGGUAUUCGGAAUGAUCAGGACUCUGAAAUAUCUAGAUAAGUUGGAUGCCGAUGAAAAUGAACGGCCAGAGUCUGAUGAAGAGGAGGAGGAUGAGGAAGAAGAUGAGGAGGAUGAGGAAGAGGAUCCUGGGAGUGGUGAGGUCGAUGGAGAAGAACAUGCAGAGAGGCUGAUGAAUGGCGUUGCUAGCAAUACAACACAUGCAGUAGUUGAUGCUGAUGAAGAAGAGGAGAGUGAUGCUGAAGAAGAGGACACUGAGACUGGUAUGGGAACAGAUGCUAAUGGUUUGGAGAGGGGGUAUCAUGCAUCCAAUGGAUUUCGAGUUGCCCCUAUCAGAGCAGCUUCAGUUGAGAGAGAAGAGGGCCAAGAUGAAGAGGAGGAUGUAGAUGAGUAUGACGAAGAGGACGAUUUGGGAGAGGAGAUUGAUGCAGAGGAGGAGGAGGAGGAGGAAGAUGAUGUUGUCGAGGUUCAUGACAUACGAGACAGUGAAGAGGAAGAUGAGGACGGGGUUGACGAGGGGGAGGAAGAGUUAGAUGAAGAGGACGAGGAUGGGGAUGUAGAAGAGGAUCAGGAUAUCCCAGAUGAUGAGGAUGACGGUGAACCUGGCAGCUCGGGGAGAUUCAUCAACGGAGAAGGGGAGAUUGAUGGUCAUGAGCAAGGUGAAGGUGAUGAAGACGAGAAUGGAGAGAUUGGGCAGGAAGAUGAGCAGGACGUGGAUGAUGAUAGAUUUUCUGAAGAAGGUGAUGGCGAGGAUGAAUUUGAGGAUGAUGACAAUGGCGGGGAGUAUCUGGUGCAACAGAUUGCACAACCUCUGGUUGUGGAUACAGCAGGGAGCGACACUUUUGAGGAAGACGAAGAUGAUGAGGUCGACAACGAUGAUGAUGGAAAAGAGCAUCUCCAGGUAAACAAUAAAUGUUCUCCGCGACAUGCAUCCUCUUCUCAGCCCAACAAGCGGAGGAGAGAUGACGACAAUGCCGAUGAGGAGUCCGAGGAGGAACAACAACAAAGGCCCAAGCAUCAUCAUCCUUGAGGUUUCUCAAUCAGCGAUGGUCUUCAUGGUUCCUGGUAUACAUACUCCUCUCAAACUCCUUCCCUCCAAACGAUCAAGCGGUAACGUUACCACGUUACCCCCGCACGGUGCCUCGUGAACCCGAUCACGUUGUCAAUCGAUUUGAGUACUCGAUCGGUUUGGUUGGGCUCGACAGGCCCAAUAAGGUUUUUGCUCGACCGCAGAUUGGUUCGACCGAACCGGAUGAACCGAACCGGAUGGCCUACAAGUCAGUUCGACUGAAUCAGGUAAUGUAGGGGCCGAACUCGGACCACCUUCUGUACUCUCCGCCUCGUAAGAUCUGGGGCUUCAUCUCCCGCUGGCGUCCGACGUCUUCUGCGUCCACGGAGUUCCGACCGUCUUGCGAACCCCUGGGUUAUGACCUUCUCGACUGUCGUUGCUCUUCUUCCGGGGUUCGCCUUCGGCAGCAUCGCCGACGACGCUGUGCAGUUAGCGAGGCUGCCGGGAUCGGGGUGGCGGAGCGGCUGUGAUACAUCGCCACCGUGGUGGUGGAUGUCAGAUUCCUGACGGGGAAGAGAUUCUAGUGCUUCAGCUGGAUGGAACCAGAUGUGAUAAUUAGCGUCCCCAGCUUCUGGCAUUCCUCUACGCGGCCUGUCGCCGUCGUCCGUGUCGCCAAAGACGCUGCUAGCAGUUCCAGCACCGGCGGAGGCGGGAGCGGCAAAAGCCGCGGUCGUAGUUGGGAAGCCUAGGAGCGGGGCUGUUAGCUUCAUCUCGGAGCUUUUGCUGGGGAAUUGCAGUGCGUAAGCUGAGACUGUAUUUUCUUAUUAUAAUCUCGUCUUGCCUUUUUCCCCCAUUAAUUGGCUGGUUUACCUUUCUGUAGGUGAUUUUGGUAAAGUAAAGAUUUUUUUUUGAAAA